AGUGAACGCUGGCGGUAGGCCUAACACAUGCAAGUCGAACGGCAGCACAGUAAGAGCUUGCUCUUACGGGUGGCGAGUGGCGGACGGGUGAGGAAUACAUCGGAAUCUACUUUUUCGUGGGGGAUAACGUAGGGAAACUUACGCUAAUACCGCAUACGACCUACGGGUGAAAGCAGGGGAUCUUCGGACCUUGCGCGAUUGAAUGAGCCGAUGUCGGAUUAGCUAGUUGGCGGGGUAAAGGCCCACCAAGGCGACGAUCCGUAGCUGGUCUGAGAGGAUGAUCAGCCACACUGGAACUGAGACACGGUCCAGACUCCUACGGGAGGCAGCAGUGGGGAAUAUUGGGCAGUGGGCGCAAGCCUGAUCCAGCCAUACCGCGUGGGUGAAGAAGGCCUUCGGGUUGUAAAGCCCUUUUGUUGGGAAAGAAAAGCAGCAGGUUAAUACCCCGCUGUUCUGACGGUACCCAAAGAAUAAGCACCGGCUAACUUCGUG
rnacentral:rRNA from 1 species